AGAGCGGGGACCGCCCCUCUGGGCCGUGCAUCCGCCCCCCCGUCACGGGCGCUGUGCACCGCCUCCGCCCCCCAGGCCCCAGCGGCUGUUCCCGCUGUGACGGUGCUGCCCCGCCGCCGCUGGGAUUGUUCCUCACCAUUGGCACGGUACUUAACAAGCUAAUCUCUGUAUUUCUUGAAUACGCACGAAUUAGCAGCUGACACAAACACUUGGGGGAAAUAAUAUAGCAUAAGUUAAGGGUGUAACUGUGCCUUCAAAACUCACUUCAGAGCUGACCCAGCAAAUGCACAAAUUAUACCGAAGUCUUUCAGAACGGCAGCAAACAGUUUUCAACACAGCGCGCUGCAGCCUGUAUUUCGUUAAUUGAGAGCCUGAGAGCCGUGCCCGGGUCAAGCAGGGAGGUAGCUGCUCACUGAAAGAAGGAGCGAAGCAGUUAACUGUGUGGGGAGUCCAUCAGUGAAAACUUUUGCAACAGACAUUCAAGAGUGGUUUACACCUGAGGCUGUACUCCCUGGUGAUGAGGACAGGAUAGCAGAGUGUAAUUCCUGGUUUCUGUUUCUGGCCCUGGGGACCCACCAGGUCUUUAUGAUUGUGAAUGCCAUCCUGUACAUUGCUGGACCACAGAAUAAAAACCCAGAAGCGUUAUGUGAUAAAAUGAUGAAGACACUCAACGCUGCGUUGGUGCGCAAGGUCUCAGGCUUGUCCCGGCGGUAGCAGGAGCUCUGGAGCCCUGCCUCUCUGCUCCGGGAAAUGCAAGCGGGCUGGCAGCCCGCCCCUCUCAGGGCAGGAGAGCUGUGCCAUCGCCCGUGCAGAAAUGCAGGCUCGGAGGUAAUUCUGUCAUCUGCCGCAGGAGGGUUGCGGACUGCAGCAACACUGAACCGCAGCCCCCAAGUGCUGCCUCAGCACUUUGUUGGAAUCACCUGGCAGCAAACCAGGACGGAUAAAAGGGAAACAGGGAAAGGGAAGCGCCAGGAAUGAAUGAUAUCCUAGAGACACGAGCUGUGUUAGCUCAUGGUAGCGCUUCCUCUGAACACAAGGUGAAUUUACAUCUCCUCCCCAGGUCUAUAGUUUAAAUAUACAGUUAUACAAAUA